UUAGGUCCCUGGCUGGGGAUUGAACUUGUGCUGCAGUGGCUGCGGAUAGCUUCAUAUGCCAAGACUUAACCCCUUGCGCCACCAGGGAGGCCUAAAUGUGGAAUUUAGAAAUUGACUUUUACCUGUAAAUCCAUUGCUCUCUCUCAUACUGUCUUCACUCCAGUUAUAGAUGUUGAGCGGGGGACUCAUCAGCUACUCGUUAAUUCUAUAAGGCAUCUUAUGUUGGUAAAGGUCAGAACUUUAGAAUUCAUUUCUACAGUGUUUUAAUGAUUUAGAGUUUCUUGUGUGGCAGUGUUCUCAAACACAUUUUGGAUGUGUGUGUGUGUGUGUGUAUGUGUGUGUGCUAUUUUCAGAACAUGCAAACGUCUCCAUUUGUCAGUGAUUUCAGAGCAAAAGAACCUCUCCUGUUCCACUGGGGAACUGUAACAUGUUAGGGCUGCAUGUUUGGGCUGGAGGUCACUCCAGCUGAAAUCUUAGUGCUAGCAAAGGCAGAAAUAGGGAUUGUUUGGGUAGGGGAACCAUGUUAGGAAAAGGCUUAAAAAUGAAAAUGAUCUGGAAAAGAGAAAUAAAAGACUGAGGAAGUGUCAGCACGAGGCCUUGAAUGAUGCUGAGAGAGACAUUGGAAGGAGAUGUAGGAGAAGGAACUGAAGGUUUCAGCAGCCCACUGGAGUUGGACGACCAUUGCCGUGUUCUGUGUCUCUCCUUCCCCUUUGGUCAGUUCCUUCCCUCCUCCCCUAUUUGUCUGGGGAAAGAGCAGACUUGGCAAGAGUAUUCCUGCCAGUGACUUGGGGGAGUAUGAGUGAAAACAAGAAUACAGGAAGGACAGAAAACAUGGAGGCAAUAAAACAGCCUGGCUGGUGUUCAGAAAGCUGGUUAGAGGCGUUUGAGGAUCAUCCCUUAAGCAGUAGGCUGGAAGCUCUUUAAGGCAAUUCCACUGGAGGAAGAUGAAAGUCUUUGGGUUGCACUCAGGUGCCCACACCUGAGACUCUGGGGGACAUGUUAGUGGGUCAGCAGCUGGCAGUUUCCCCAGCUUUUCCAUUUUUCUCCUGUGCUUUUGAUAUGCUCUGUCAGAUAUACAUCCUCUUCAUCCUCAAAGGUGAAUGCGUCUGGUGGACCUGGUUCCUGCCCAACCCUAUCAUAUGUGCAGAUACCUCUGCCUCCCCAACAAUCUUCAACUGCUGGGAAUUUGCCUUAGGAGGUCAAUUUGCAGGCACCACCACCUCAGGCUCCAGACUUGAGCUCACCACUAAGGGUGCUGAAUGACCCUGAGACAGAGAUGCUGCUUAAAUCUGUGACCUAUACUAUCUUGCUGACCUCACCCUAGGCACAGCCCUGCACAUGAAUCUGCUGCCAGUCCUCUUCCCCCCACCUCUAGGUUGGAUUUAACUGGGGGAGCAGUAUCUGGGAGCCAGGACACUAAGAAAGAGGCAGGGAGGCCUAAUCUGAAGCAUCUGAGGUUUAUGUUGCAGUAAGGGUUGUAAGGGGCUUGUCUUACUCCCCCAGGAGCCAUCUGGUGUUCCCUACUCUGUUGCAGCCUUUUUAUCAGUAGAGAAGAGGUGAGAAUGGAGGGGAGAACUGAGAGAGGAAAUGAGUGACACAGUCAAUAUAUCACAUCCUUUAUUCGACUCACAGGGACCACAUAGAGUAUAUUAUAGAUCCCUAAUGAUACAGACAAAGGUCCCCUGUUGGGCAAUCUGUAGCCCAUCAAAGAGAACCAAGCCAGACAACAGACAGAGCUGUUGGGCUACAUAGCAAGUGAAUAGAUGCCCCAAAGUUUCUUGGAAGGGGUGCCUUGGCACAGGGUCAUGAGGCAUGGCAGAAAAGUGGUGGCAAGGGAGGACUCAGCUGUGGAACACGGUGAGUAGAGACCUUGCUCAUACUUUGUCUCCCAAACCUAGAACAGUCAGCUCCUGGCACAUGGUAAGUAUGCUAAAAAUGGCCUGUAGAAUUGAGACUAUUUGAAGAAGCCAAAAGAGAUAGGAAGGAUUGAGAAAAUCAAAAUAAUAGAAUGUGGAAAGCCAUUUUGGAAGCUACCUGGUGGGAAGGAAGGCCUGAAGGGAAUGCAGUAAAGAGCCUGGAUUUGGCAGGUGGUGAGUGGGCUCAGAAUGGAGUGGAACUGGCCAGUAGCUUGAAGAGGGAAACUGUAAUGGAAAGAGAAGGAAAAGGAUUAAGUAGAUUAUCUAGGUAUACCGUUCCCUAGGCAAAGAAAAUGUCAAAACAAACCAAACAAACUGAAAACCAGUGAUGUGGAAGAGGCUGCUUAUUGGGGAAAUAGAGGUGGCAACAGGAAAGAGGGGGGAGAGCUGCAGGCCAGGGGCUGAAGUGCAGCCAUGCUUUUCCACCUUAGGGCAAAGUGCCCCAAAGAGACUUAUGUCCAUUCUAGCCUUCUGACCUUGAAAAACCCCUUAGGAGUGGAGGAUUUACAACUGCCAGUCCAAUCUGUCCUAUGGGUGUGCCCAGGAAAGGAGGAGGCAGAGGGCUAGGGCCUGCUCCUUCAUGUGCUAAGAGGAUGCAUUUUUGACUUAGGCACCCCAGCUUCAUUGGUUACAACCUCUACCCUUGCAGACAGACUCUGGAGUCCACCAGCUUAUGUCACAUCUGACUAAAUUAGCCUCGUUCUCUCCCUCCUGUGUCCUGGGGACUUUCUGAUGCUCCUACCACUCUUGCCCAUAGGGCGGGCCAAAUCUUGGAUCGACACCUCUUACACAGCACCUUACUUAACUGGGUUUCAUUGCAAUUGGGAGGUUGGACAACUUGGGCCCUUGAGGGUUUGGUACACAGGUCUAACUCUACCUCUUUGCUGAAUACUCUCCUCCUCUCAAACCCUCUUGCCUCCAGGGCAACUCAUUGGGCCUAGAAAAGGAUCAGGUAACCACUGACAGAAGGACCAUUUUCUUGGAGGAACCCAACUGAAGAACUGGCCUAGAGAGGUUACAGGAAAUAAAUCUGACAAGAGCGAGUAUAAAGAUUCCUCCUCUCCCUGUUUGAAGAGGGGAAGUGGUGCUGGACAGAGGUAGAGAAGACAGUGGUGCACCAGAAUGAAAAGGGUCGCCCCUUCCGCAGAAGACCCUUAAGACUCCAUGAUGUUCUUCAGCUGGGUGCAAUGACUGUACCUACACUUUGGGGGCUUCACUUUCUAUCCUCACAAUUACUAAGGCAGAUCAGAGGCUAGGGUAAACGUGGUUAUUAGGAAUUGUGACCUGACAGUAAGGAGAAUCGCUCCUGUACAUUUGUGACCUGGAUUUGUCAGCAUAUCUUUUUUUUAAAAGAGUAUUGUGUAAACAAUAUGCUCUGGUCAUUAAAGACCAGACUAUUCUUAUACCCUACUGCCUCUUUAGAACAUUUACUGAUCCCUGAUUUGUACUUUUUGACAAAAUAUUAAUAUAUAGUGAGUCAGGGUAAUACCCUUUCUUUGACGCCAGUUUAGUGAUUCCUGGAUGGGCUCUAAAUUUGUAUGCCAAACUGAGUGAACUGCUAAUAUCUAUUUUCCUCCAAAUUGAAGUUCUGGUUUUCGUUAGAUUCUGAAAUGGUCUAUGAUCCAAAAUGGGUUCUGAACCGUUGUUUACAUAAUGCUGAUCUGCAUCAAUAAGGCAUAGUGGGAUGAUAAAAUAAAUUAUAUAAGCCAAUCUUACCCCUGGAGUCCAAUACCUUCCUAUUCCCUGGAGCCUCUCCUAAUACUGAUCCUAAAAUGUUCCUGUCUCUGAGGACCUAGGACAAGGCCACCUUACAAAAGACUGGCCAUUUUGCUCUGUUCAUAGGAAUGUGAGCAAAAGAAGAGCAUUUCAGGUAAAGAAGGAAGGCUGCUUUGAGCAGCAAAAGGGAAGUGGGACUGGGUUGCUCAUCAUAUGUACUCUAAGAAGAUUUGUUAGCAAAAUGAGCCCAUUUUUAACUCCAUUUAGGUCUAAGGAGUUGCGAUUCCCCAGUUUUCCCCAAGCAAUCGGACAGUCAUUAAGCUAGAUUGUUGGAGCUCACUUUUGCCUCUGUGGUUGAGAAAUUAAUGUGUUUGGGGAAAAAAUAAAAACAACAGAAUCUAAGCACUGGAACGGUAAUAUCCCACUUUCAUUCUCUGCUCUCCUCCACUUCCUCCCUAGCCCCAAACUGCUAUUACAUAUAAUUUUUAAAUUAUAGGAUUGAUAUUAAUACAUUAUCAAUGAAGAAAAACAAUGACCAAAUCAUCAACUAACAGAUGCUAGAAUACUUAGUAAGUCCCGGAGUUGAGUCUCUGCGGACACCUUCCCAGAACAGGGAGGAAAACCAACUGGAAAGCUCAUUACCCUGCGUCAGCUGAAAAGCUAAACAUAAUCAUUCCCCCUAAAGUUCUUUCUGGGAGACUGAGAUCCUCCAGUAUUCUGCCCCCUUGACAGAGGCAGUCAAGGUCAAACAAGAGUGAUGACAACAACUGGCACAUACUGUGAUCCCUGCCCUAAUUUCCCAGCUCUUUAAACAAGACAAAAACCCCACUCAGCACCAAGCUUCCUUAGGUACCUUGCUUGCAAUCAGUUAAGAAACAGUUUAUCUCACUGAAGAUCUGUUUCCUCUCAGGCAAAAAUAAUCUGUGGCCCAGACAGAGCUAUAGCUCUAGUUGUUUUGAUGUGACAACUGGGGAGACCUCAACUUCAACAUUGUAACCAUUACUGAUCCUUUCUACUAGGGCUCCCUUAAUUGUUCAGCUUACUUUCUAUCUUAAAACAACAAAUAAAGCCCUAUAUAAUACCCACUACCCUCUUCCCAGAACACAGCCCCUAGAAAAUCUAGCUUGUACAGAUUGUACUUUGCAUGCUUUCAUCAAAGACCCGGCACACAGAUACACAGACACAUAAAGACACAGUCAAGAGGAGAUGGGUCUGUUCAAGAAGAUAGUUUUUUUCUUCUGUGUGGGUGUGGGUUACUUGGGGAUAUAAGAUCCAUCUCUCAGUAUUCUAGCUUGCUCUCUCAGCUGGAUAAAUGUAUGUGUAGGAUGAAAGGAGUUGGAAUAGAGGUAAAAGGUUAAUGUUUCUAUUUUUCAGUGGGUGGGGGUGAGCAGUGUGGACAUGUACUGGAUGAUUGGGAUAAAGGUGAUGGACCCACACAGGA